rnacentral:rRNA from 1 species
UACAGAGGGUGCGAGCGUUAAUCGGAAUUACUGGGCGUAAAGCGUGCGUAGACGGUAAUGUAAGUCGGGUGUGAAAGCCCCGGGCUCAACCUGGGAAUUGCAUUCGAGACUGCAUCGCUUGGGUGCGGAAGAGGGAAGCGGAAUUUCCGGUGUAGCGGUGAAAUGCGUAGAUAUCAGGAGGAACACCGGUGGUGUAGACGGCUCUCUGGACCGUAACUGACGCUGAGGCACGAAAGCGUGGGUAGCAAACAGG